AUUGAACGCUGGCGGAAUGCUUUACACAUGCAAGUCGAGCGGCAGCGCGGCCUUCGGGCUGGCGGCGAGCGGCGAACGGGUGAGUAAUGCAUCGGAACAUGCCCAGUCGUGGGGGAUAACACUUCGAAAGAAGUGCUAAUACCGCAUACGUCCUGAGGGGGAAAGCGGGGGAUCGUAAGACCUCGCGCGAUUGGAGUGGCCGAUGUCAGAUUAGCUAGUUGGUGGGGUAAAGGCCUACCAAGGCGACGAUCUGUAGCUGGUCUGAGAGGAUGAUCAGCCACACUGGGACUGAGACACGGCCCAGACUCCUACGGGAGGCAGCAGUGGGGAAUUUUGGACAAUGGGGGCAACCCUGAUCCAGCCAUUCCGCGUGAGUGAAGAAGGCCUUCGGGUUGUAAAGCUCUUUCGGCAGGAACGAAACGGUGGGCUCUAACAUAGUCCGCUAAUGACGGUACCUGAAGAAGAAGCACCGGCUAACUACGUG
rnacentral:rRNA from 1 species